GUUGUGUAAUGAUGCUGCAAAGAAGGCUUAUAAACCUAGGAGAACUUUGACACUCAUGGGCUUUCCAUUAGCAAAGAAAAAAGAUCAUAAGAUUCACAGCUAGAAGGGACCAGCUUCAACAUCAUCUAAUGAAGUCCAACUCCUACAUUUUAUAAAUGAGAAAACUGGCCCAGACAGAUGAAGCAACCUGGCCAAGAUCAAACAACUAGAGAAGAAAAUGACACCCUCCCCGUGUUUGCCAAG